UUAUUUUGGCAGAAUAGUGCAUUUGAUUUAGAAUCAUUUUAAGUAAUUUUUACAGAUAAUAA
rnacentral:tRNA from 1 species